rnacentral:tRNA from 1 species
GUCUGGGCCAGCAUGUCCUGGCCGAUCUCGUUGGUCCCGAACCAAUGCUGCGGCGACGGGGGUUGCAGCAGUGCGUACGGGUCGCGCUCCUGAUA